rnacentral:rRNA from 1 species
GACGAACGCUGGCGGCGUGCUUAACACAUGCAAGUCGAACGGACAGGCCCUGCUUUUGUGGGGUGCUCGAGUGGCGAACGGGUGAGUAACACGUGUGUAAACUGCCCCUGACUUUGGGAUAACUUCAGGAAACUGGGGCUAAUACCGGAUAGGAGCUCCUGCUGCAUGGUGGGGGUUGGAAAGUUUCGGCGGUUGGGGCUGGACUCGCGGCUUAUCGGCUUGUUGGUGGGGUAGUGGCUUACCAAGGCUCUGACGGGUAGCCGGCCUGAGCGGGUGACCGGCCACAUUGGGACUGAGAUACGGCACAGACUCCUACGGGAGGCAGCGGUGGGGAAUAUUGCACAAUGAGCGGAGGCCUGAUGCAGCAACGCCGCGUGCGGGAUGACGGCCUUCGGGUUGAAAACCGCUUUCGCCUGUGACGAAGCGUGAGUGACGGUAAUGGGUAAAGAAGCACCGGCUAACUACGUG